rnacentral:rRNA from 1 species
GUCUUUUUGUUAAUAAUUUAAAGUCUAAUCUGCCCACUGAUAUAUUUAUUAAAGGGCUGCAGUAUUUUGACUGUACAAAGGUAGCAUAAUCAUUAGUCUUUUAAUUGGUGACUUGUAUGAAAGAUUGGAUGAAAUAUAAACUGUCUCUUUUAUAAAAAAAAAAAUUGAAUUUAAUUUUUUAAUUAAAAAGUUAAAAUUAUUUAAAAAGACGAGAAGACCCUAUAGAGUUUUAUAAUUUAUUUUGUAAAUAUUUUUAUUUUUAUAUUUUUAUAAUUUUAAAUUAUUUUGUUGGGGUGAUAAAAAAAUUUAAUUAACUUUUUUUAAUAGUUUACAUUAAUAAGUGAUUAAAUGAUCCAAUUUUAUUGAUUAAAAGAAAAAAUUACCUUAGGGAUAACAGCGUAAUUUUUUUUUUUAGUUCAAAUAAAAAGAAAAGUUUGCGACCUCGAUGUUGGAUUAAGAUAAAAUUUAAAUGUAGAAGUUUAAAAUUUUGAUCUGUUCGAUCAUUAAAAUCUU